rnacentral:tRNA from 1 species
ACGAUUCCUCUGUAGUUCAGUCGGUAGAACGGCGGACUGUUAAUCCGUAUGUCACUGGUUCGAGUCCAGUCAGUUGUG